rnacentral:rRNA from 1 species
UACAGAGGUCCCGAGCGUUGUUCGGAUUCACUGGGCGUAAAGGGUGCGUAGGUGGCUUGACAAGUUUGAUGUGAAAUCUCCGGGCUUAACCCGGAAAUGCAUUGAAUACUGUAGAGGCUUGAGGUUUGGAGGGGGACUGGAAUUCUCGGUGUAGCAGUGAAAUGCGUAGAUAUCGUAAGGAAGACCAGUGGCGAAGGCGGGUCUCUGGACAGUUCCUGACGCUGAGGCACGAAGGUCAGGGGAGCAAACGGG